ACGUAGGGUGCGAGCGUUAAUCGGAAUUACUGGGCGUAAAGCGCGCGUAGGUGGUUUGUUAAGUUGGAUGUGAAAUCCCCGGGCUCAACCUGGGAACUGCAUUCAAAACUGACUGACUAGAGUAUGGUAGAGGGUGGUGGAAUUUCCUGUGUAGCGGUGAAAUGCGUAGAUAUAGGAAGGAACACCAGUGGCGAAGGCGACCACCUGGACUAAUACUGACACUGAGGUGCGAAAGCGUGGGGAGCAAACAGG
rnacentral:rRNA from 1 species